CAGCAGCCGCGGGAAUACGAAGGUCCCGAGCGUUGUUCGGAAUCACUGGGCGUAAAGGGAGCGUAGGCGGCGUGGUAAGUCAGAUGUGAAAUCCCGGGGCUCAACCCCGGAACUGCAUCCGAUACUGCCAUGCUAGAGGAUUGGAGAGGUAGCUGGAAUUCUUGGUGUAGCAGCGAAAUGCGUGGAGAUCAAGAGGAACACUCGUGGCGAAAGCGAGCUACUGGACAAUAACUGACGCUGAGGCUCGAAGGCCAGGGUAGCGAAAGGGAUUAGAUACCCCUGUAGUCCCUGUCUCUUAUAC
rnacentral:rRNA from 1 species